CACGUAGGGGGCGAGCGUUGUCCGGAAUCAUUGGGCGUAAAGAGCUCGUAGGCGGCUCAGUAAGUCGGGUGUGAAACCCUCAGGCUCAACCUGGGGACGCCACCCGAUACUGCUGUGGCUAGAGUCCAGUAGGGGAGUGUGGAAUUCCCGGUGUGAGCGGUGAAAUGCGCAGAGUAUCGGGAGGAACACCAGCGGCGAAGGCGGCACUCUGGGCUGGUACUGACGCUGAGGAGCGAAAGCGUGGGGAGCAAACAGG
rnacentral:rRNA from 1 species